UGGCGAACGGGUGAGUAACACGUGGGCAACCUGCCCAAAAGAGGGGGAUAACACUUGGAAACAGGUGCUAAUACCGCAUAACCAUAGUUACCGCAUGGUAACUAUGUAAAAGGUGGCUAUACUACCGCUUUUGGAUGGGCCUGCGGCGCAUUAGCUAGUUGGUAGGGUAAAGGCUUACCAAGGCAAUGAUGCGUAGCCGAAUUGAGAGGUUGAUCGGCCACAUUGGGACUGAGACACGGCCCAAACUCCUACGGAAGGCAGCAG
rnacentral:rRNA from 1 species